rnacentral:rRNA from 1 species
UACGAAGGGGGCUAGCGUUGCUCGGAAUCACUGGGCGUAAAGCGCACGUAGGCGGAUUGUUAAGUCAGGGGUGAAAUCCUGGAGCUCAACUCCAGAACUGCCUUUGAUACUGGCGAUCUCGAGUCCGGGAGAGGUGAGUGGAACUGCGAGUGUAGGAGGUGAAAUUCGUAGAUAUUCGCAAGAACACCAGUGGCGAAGGCGGCUCACUGGCCCGGUACUGACGCUGAGGUGCGAAAGCGUGGGGAGCAAC